rnacentral:lncRNA from 1 species
GUAUAACUUCUAAUUUAACAUGAUUUACUUAUUUGAAAUAGUAAUAUAUUCGAAAAAACAAAGAGUGAGGUGAUAUGUAUUUAAUUUUAGAUUGUCCCAUUCAAUUGGACUUGUUUUCUAUUAUAAAUAUAGCCCAACACACUCUACACUAUAAUCUUUUUCUUCUAAAUGAGUGUAUCAAAAAUAACUAGGGCAAAUGAGGUGAGACGAAAAAAAAUAAUUUAUUCAAGCUUUCAAAAUGAUUUUCGACUUAAUAAAAUUUUAUGAAGCCCACAAAUCUAAAUUUCCGAUAUAAAUAUUAUUCAAAUCUAUGGAGAAGGAAAAUUACCUCUUUGCGAAUUUUCUCCUUAUCUUUGAUGGUCUUGUUUAAUUUUUCGAUUCAAUCCUCCCUCUCUCCUUAUCUUUGCUCGUCUGGCCAGCUGAGAGUGAUUUGACUACGGUAGAGUUUGAUAUCUUUGAUUUGAACAAUCCAAAACAGAGUUGGUAGGGGCUAUAAACUACAAAUUCACAAAGUCCGAGUUAUAGUUAUGGUCAAACGCAACAAGUUAUAUAUUUUAUCGAGUAGGUUAAAUAGAAACAAAAAAGAUAGUACUUAAUUUUCUAGAAAUAUUGCUUAGACAAUUGUAAGAGAUGGCAAAAGGGGAGACAGACAGAUGCAUAUUAUAAUUCUAUUAUUUCCCCAAUGCUAGUAUCUCUUAAUAAUGUCUUCUUAGCUGUAAUCCACGCAUGGUUUUAUAUAUUUAUCCAAAACUAGUUGAAGCAACCUUAUUUUAGCCAAAUUAGGGGUCAACUGUGGGUGGCGCUUAUUAACGGCGUUGGACUUUCGCGGCCAGGCUGCGGCGGUCGGCUGUUUGGCUAAGUUUAUUUUAAAAGGCUUAUAAGAUGUUUCAAUAAUUUAUAAGAUAUAAUUUCAUAAGAGCUUAUAAAUUAUCAAAGUGUUGGAAUAAUUAACCUUAUAAGUUAGAAAUAUUUUUUUUAGUUAGAGAGACAAAAUCUUUAUUAGAGAGAUAAAAUCAAAGAGGGAUAAAAUUAAAAUAAUAUAUGAUGAAAAGAAAAAAUCAGAGUUGAGUUAUUUUUGUAAAAUACAUGCAGAGAAACUAAAAGGGUGCUUGGCUCAGCUUAAUUUAAAGAGCUUAUAAGAUGUUUCAAAACCUUAUACAAUAUAGUUUUUUAAUAGUUAUAAGUUGUCAAAGUGUUAGGAUGAUUUAGCUUAUAAGAUAGAGAAAUUUUAGUUAGAGAUAAAAAAUCUUUGCUAGAGAGAAAUUCGAAGAGAGAUGAAACUAUAAUAAUAUAUGAUCAAAAUAAAAAAUCAUAUUUGAGUUAUUUUUGAAAAAUGAGUGUUGUUUAUAAGAUAAUGAGAAAAUAAGUUGGGGGUAAAAGAGCUUAUUUUUUGGAAAGCUUAUAAGCUCUUAGAGCUAAGAGCUUAUUUGUACAACUUACAAGCUCCUAAACAACCUCUUAAUCAAAUUGAAUUUUUUUAUUAAUCGAAAGUAUAUACAUUCCAUACCUAGAACCGCAAUCAUCGCAAUCAAAUACCGAGCCGAUCAAAGCAAUUCGGUAUUCAACUAAUCAAAAGAUCGAAAAAAUGAAUUUGAAAUACUGAAAUGGUUAAACACGAAGUGAACAAUUUUAAAAAUGGCUCAGUUGAUACGCGUUUCCCUUAAUAAUUAAAUUGGGGAUUCGAAUCACCAUCAAAGAGACAGUGGGGAAGGAUUAUUGAUCCCUUAAAACAAACCCAAAAAGAACAAUAGAAAAAUUCAGCUCAAAUCUAUUUUAUUGGCAAAAAAAUCAUAGAAAGAAAAGAAUACAUAUUCUUCUUCUUAAUCGCGCAAUCACACUGUGAUAGACUCAUAUUCUUAAUUAUCUUAUGAUAUUUUCAAUUGAUACAACUAAUUCUGAUUCCAUUUUGACAAUAGCAAAUAAGCAAGCAUUGUAAAUUUGUAUUCGAUAAGAAAAGAAUACACGUAUUGGAGACCAGAUUUCAGAUUACAUACCUAGGCUGCCGGCGAUGGACUAAGGACGGCAGGAGGUGGAGACGCCGAGCGAGCAGCGGCUGGGCAAGCGGUGAAGGAGCGGUGGAAUCCGGCGGUGUUUACUGUAAAUUAUACUGAAUUCAGUUUGAGUUGAAUUAGGGAUUUUCAAUGUUAGAAAGUUGUGAUUUUUAUUAUAUUGAAUGUCCAGUUAAUGUGAAUAUGUAACAACCACUAAUAAAAUAUAAGAAGC